CCAGACUGGAACCGGGAGAGGUAAGAGGUACUACAGGGGUAGGAGUGAAAUCUUGGUAAUCCCUGUGGGACCACCUGUGGCGAAGGCGUCUUACCAGAACGGGUUCGACGGUGAGGGACGAAAGCUGGGGGCACGAACCGGAUUAGAUACCCGGGUAGUCCCAGCCGUAAACGAUGCUCGCUAGGUGUCAGGCAUGGCGCGACCGUGUCUGGUGCCGCAGGGAAGCCGUGAAGCGAGCCACCUGGGAAGUACGGCCGCGGAAGGCUGAAACUUAAAGGAAUUGGCGGGGGAGCACAACAACGGGUGGAGCCCUGCGGUUUAAUUGGACUCAACGCCGGACAACUCACCGGGGGCGACAGCAAUAUGUAGGCCAAGCUGAAGACUUUGCCUGAAUCGCUGAGAGGAGGUGCAUGG
rnacentral:rRNA from 1 species